UACAGAGGUCCCAAGCGUUGUUCGGAUUCACUGGGCGUAAAGGGUGCGUAGGCGGUCGGGUAAGUCUGAUGUGAAAUCUCACAGCUUAACUGUGAAACUGCAUUGGAUACUAUCCGGCUAGAGGAAUGGAGGGGAGACUGGAAUACUUGGUGUAGCAGUGAAAUGCGUAGAUAUCAAGUGGAACACCAGUGGCGAAGGCGAGUCUCUGGGCAUUUCCUGACGCUGAGGCACGAAAGCCAGGGGAGCAAACGAG
rnacentral:rRNA from 1 species